rnacentral:rRNA from 1 species
UACAGAGGGUGCGAGCGUUGUCCGGAAUCACUGGGCGUAAAGGGCGCGUAGGUGGCCCGACAAGUCAGUGGUGAAAGUUCGACGCUUAACGUCGAAUCGGCCACUGAUACUGUUGGGCUGGAGCACUGUAGAGGCUCAUGGAAUUCCGGGUGUAGCGGUGGAAUGCGUAGAGAUCCGGAAGAACACCGGUGGCGAAGGCGGUGAGCUGGGCAGUUGCUGACACUGAGGCGCGACAGCGUGGGGAGCAAACAGGG